rnacentral:rRNA from 1 species
GAUGAACGCUGGCGGCGUGCUUAACACAUGCAAGUCGAACGGAAAGGCUCCUGCUUGCAGGGGUACUCGAGUGGCGAACGGGUGAGUAACACGUGGGUGAUCUGCCCUGCACUUCGGGAUAAGCCUGGGAAACUGGGUCUAAUACCGGAUAGGACGAUGGUUUGGAUGCCAUUGUGGAAAGUUUUUUCGGUGUGGGAUGAGCUCGCGGCCUAUCAGCUUGUUGGUGGGGUAAUGGCCUACCAAGGCGUCGACGGGUAGCCGGCCUGAGAGGGUGUACGGCCACAUUGGGACCGAGAUACGGCCCAGACUCCUACGGGAGGCAGCAGUGGGGAAUAUUGCACAAUGGGCGGAAGCCUGAUGCAGCGACGCCGCGUGGGGGAUGACGGCCUUCGGGUUGUAAACUGCUUUCGCUAGGGACGAAGCGCAAGUGACGGUACCUGGAGAAGAAGCACCGGCUAACUACGUG